CUCCCUGUGGCUCAGUUGGUAGAGCAUGGUGUUUGCAACGCCAGCAUGGUGUGUGCAAUGCCAUGGUUGUGGGUUCGAUUCCCACGGGGGGGC
rfam:Salmo salar isolate Sally breed double haploid chromosome ssa12, whole genome shotgun sequence.